GGUCCUGUGGCGCAACUGGAUAGCGCAUCUGACUACGAAUCAGAAGGUUACAAGUUCGAAUCUUGUCAGGAUCACGA
rnacentral:tRNA from 1 species